rnacentral:rRNA from 1 species
GCACUUCUUGGAUAGGCCAGGAAGUAUGCCUCUUUGAGCAUCGUUUUCACCCCAGCUCGACUGCUUUUUUGUUAAUUCAAAAGAGUGUAUGGUCGGAGAAUGAGUUGUCUUUGCUGAAAAGCCAAGUCACUUUAAAUGGUGUGAGCUCCUAAACUCUACUAGUGUGCAUCGUAUUUCGGUACGGUGGCUUCAUUUAUGAACUAAUCGCUAGUUAACAUGGAUAAUCUCUAUUCAAUGUUGACAUUGGCUUGAUUGGAUUGUAAGUGCGGUUUCUACAUUAGAGAAACUUGGAGAUCUCAGUGGAAAUUAAUCGAAUUCUUAAAUUCUUGAAUUUGAUCUCAAAUGAAGCAAGACUACCCGCUGAACUUAAGCAUAUUAUUAAGCGGAGGAAAAGAAACUAACAAGGAUGCCCUCAGUAACGGCGAGUGAAGCGGGCAAAGCUCAACCUGAAAAUCGGAUACCCAAGCGGGUGUUCGAAUUGUGGGCUACAGACUCAUGAUCAGUGUGUGACUCAGGUAUAAAUCUUUUGAAACAAGGUAUCAUAGAGGGUGAGAAUCCCGUCUACGACCUGAAGCUUCGCCACGUACGAUCUGGGUUCACAGAGUCGAGUUGUUUGGGAUUGCAGC